AUGAACUAGUGGGCCUCUUGAGGGCCAACGACAAGUUAUAAAAGGGCCAGUGACAAGACUCAAGUUGAACUGGGGCCGGAUACUCAAAACACCUCAUAAGUUACGUUUUUCAGCAUGUUACAGUACCAUAUAUUGUGGAAGCCUUACAGUACCAUAAAUUUAGCAUACUCAAAAUUUAAUUAUGGUUCCGUAAGACUACCAUAAGUUCUCGUAACUCUAGUGUUUACCCUGUAAAUUAAGUUCUCUUGUCGGACGGUAGCUGUCAGUGCAGACGCUAGUUGGCCAAUCAACGCUCAGUUAACAAAAUCAUCAACCAAUCACAAGAGAAGGAGAAAUCAGCUGAGAGCGACGCACGUAAUAUUAUUGUGUAAACAUGGAAGGACCACCAGCCAAGAAGAGACGACCUAAUUUCAGUGAGGCUGAAGUAUACGCUUUUGUGACUGAGGUGGCCAAAAGACAAGAAAUGAUUUUAGGGAAGUUGGACUCAAGUAGUUGUACACUUCAACUCAAAAACCAGCCUGGGGUGAAGUGUUAAAUGCGGUGAAUGCUGUUGGUAGAGUCACCCGCAAUGUUACUGAAAUUCGGUGGAAGUUUUCUGCUGAUCUUCGUGUUAGCGUUAAGAAAAAAGCAGCACAAGAUAAGAAAUAUGCUGGUGGAACAGGUGGCGGCCCCCAAAUUGAAAUUACAUACACUGCAAUUGAAGAAGCAAUUCUUCAACUAUUAGAUCCAGCCUCUAUACAUGGGAUUCCAGGGGAUGUUGAAAGUGAAGAACCUAUUAAUG